CUAACGGCUGAACCAGCAAUUUGGGGGAAUGUAUAGCGAAAGCUAGUUGUAUUAUUAGUUAAUGCAAGAUCGACUACGUCGAUUAAAGUUCUAGGUAGAAUAAUGAUGAUGACAAUUUUUUACCUAUAUGUCUUGACCAAGUCUCGUGCCAGCAGUCGCGGUAAUACGUGGAAGACUAGUGUUAUUCAUCUUUAUUAGGUUUAAAGGGUACCUAGACGGUAUUUCUAGCCCAAAAGAGGGUACGGAUUUACUAGAGUUUUAUGUGAGGAGGGGAGUACUCAUGGAGUAGAGAUGAAAUUUUGUUAUACUAUGAGGUAACUGGUGGCGGCGAAAGCAACCUUCUAUGUAUAAACUGACGUUGAGGGACGAAGGCUUGGGUAGCAAAUAGGAUUAGAUACCCUAGUAGUCCAAGCAGACAAUUCUGAAUGCCAUAGAUUAGAUUAUUUUUGGUCUAUAAAUGAAAGUGUAAGCAUUCCACCUUAGGAGUAAUGUGGCAACACAGGAACUGAAAUCAUUAGACCGUUUCUGAAACCAGUAGUGAAGUAUGUUAUUUAAUUUGAUGGUCCACAAAAAACCUUACCACAACUUGAAUAUUUUUUAAUUAAUACAAGCGUUGCACGGCUGUCUUCAGUUAAUGUCGUGAGAUUUUGGUUAACUCCAUUAAUUAACGUAAACCCUUACUUUAUUUUUUUUUUAUAAAGUAGAUCGCCUAUAUAUUGGAUAUGAUAAGAGGGA
rnacentral:rRNA from 1 species